AUGAGGCUGGUGUGUGUAAAUGGCCUGAGAUUCAGGCACCUCAGGCUUGCGUUCCUCGCCAUCUUUGCGGUGUUUCUUCUUUGGAAAUGGGACAAGGGAUCACUGUACAGUCCUGGUAUCCUCCGACCGGAGCCAUUGGUCUUGAAUCGGAAUACCUCCAUGGAGGAAGACCCCCCCAUCAUCGAUCCAUUGGUGCAGUCGGUCACUGAAGUAGGAAAGGAAGGCAUUUCUGCACCUCCACCUCUGUCCAUAGUUCAUAACUCUGAAGAUGUCGCUGAUAACGCGGGAACAGCACCUCCUCAGAAGAAAGAAUGUGACUACAGGAAUGGAGAAUGGGUUCCUGAUAACCACAGGCCACUGUAUUCUGGCCCCAGAUGUAAAAGAUGGCUCUCUGAGAGCUGGAACUGCAGAUUGACACAACGCACAGAUUUCGCUUACGAGAAAUUUAGAUGGCAGCCUGAAGGCUGCGAUAUGCCAGCGUUUCAAGCUGCCCAAUUCUUGACAAGAAUGCAGGAUAAAACCAUUGCUUAUGUAGGCGACUCUUUAGGGAGGCAGAUGUUCCAGUCGAUGAUGUGCAUGCUUGCGGCAUCUGGGAAACAUGAUUCAGAUGUGGAAGAUGUUGGCUCCAAGUACGGAAUGGCCCAGACACAUCGUGCAAAACGACCAACACGGUCAGUAGGCUCGGCCUACCGGUUCCGGAGCACAAACACGACCGUCCUGUAUUACUGGUCAUCGACGCUCUGCGAUCUGGAGCCUCUCAGGCGAUCAAAUCCAGCUGCCGGUUACGCCAUGCACCUUGAUCGCCCACCUUCGUUUCUCAAGAAGAACCUUCACAGGCUCCACGUCCUUGUUCUGAACACCGGGCAUCACUGGAACAGGGGUAAGCUGAAGGCGAACAAGUGGGAAAUGUACGCCUCAGGAGCACCGAAUAACAACCGAGAGAUCGCCAGCAUGUGGAAGGCGAAAAACUUCACUAUACAUGGUGUUAUUAAGUGGCUAGAUGCCCAGCUUCCUAGAUAUCCCCACCUGAAGGUAUUCUACAGAUCACUGUCACCAAGGCAUUUCUUCAAUGGGGAGUGGAACACCGGAGGCACUUGCAACAACAAAGAUCCUUUGGCCAAGGGUAACAGGGUGUUUCAGAAUCAUUCCGAAGAUGCCGACAGCGAAGGAGCGGCAAAAGGCACUAGGAUCAAGCUCUUGGAUAUCACCGCGCUUUCACGGCUACGCGACGAAGGGCACAUAUCAAAGUACAGUAUCAGAGCUACACCAGGGGUCCAAGAUUGCUUGCACUGGUGCCUUCCUGGUGUUCCAGACACAUGGAAUGAAAUACUGUCCGCUCAACUGUAG
rnacentral:rRNA from 1 species